rnacentral:tRNA from 1 species
GGAGAGAUGGCUCAGCGGUUAAGAGCACCUGACUGCUCUUCCAGAAGUCCUGAGUUCAAUUCUCAGCAACUACA